GGGUGAGUAACACGUAUCCAACCUGCCGUCUACUCUUGGACAGCCUUCUGAAAGGAAGAUUAAUACAAGAUGGCAUCAUGAGUCCACAUGUUCACAUGAUUAAAGGUAUUCCGGUAGACGAUGGGGAUGCGUUCCAUUAGAUAGUAGGCGGGGUAACGGCCCACCUAGUCUUCGAUGGAUAGGGGUUCUGAGAGGAAGGUCCCCCACAUUGGAACUGAGACACGGCCCAAACUCCUACGGGAGGCAGCAGUGAGGAAUAUUGGUCAAUGGGCGAGAGCCUGAACCAGCCAAGUAGCGUGAAGGAUGACUGCCCUAUGGGUUGUAAACUUCUUUUAUAAAGGAAUAAAGUCGGGUAUGCAUACCCGUUUGCAUGUACUUUAUGAAUAAGGAUCGGCUAACUCCGUGCCAGCAGCCGCGGUAAUACGGAGGAUCCGAGCGUUAUCCGGAUUUAUUGGGUUUAAAGGGAGCGUAGAUGGAUGUUUAAGUCAGUUGUGAAAGUUUGCGGCUCAACCGUAAAAUUGCAGUUGAUACUGGAUAUCUUGAGUGCAGUUGAGGCAGGCGGAAUUCGUGGUGUAGCGGUGAAAUGCUUAGAUAUCACGAAGAACUCCGAUUGCGAAGGCAGCCUGCUAAGCUGCAACUGACAUUGAGGCUCGAAAGUGUGGGUAUCAAACAGGAUUAGAUACCCU
rnacentral:rRNA from 1 species